rnacentral:tRNA from 1 species
AGAAUAGUAUUUUAACUAAAAUAUCUAAUUUGCAUUUAGAAAAUGUCCUUUCCUAUUCU